AACGCACCUUGCGCUCCUUGGUAUUCCGAGGAGCAUGCCUGUUUGAGUGUCUUGAAGUCAUCAACCCCUCCCGUUUUUGUGCGGGUUCGGGCUGGAUCUGGGGGCUUGCGGCCGCGUAGGCCGCUCCCCUCAAAUGCAUCGGUUGGGCCUGUGGGUCGAACUCGACUGGGCGUUGUACCAUCCUCGCUCUCCCGAGACGUUCCCCUUCUGCGCCCUCCCACGACCUGCCUAUGGAGCGGCGGUCAAGCAAAACUUUGAAAUCUGACCUCAAAUCAGGUAGGACUACCCGCUGAACUUAA
rnacentral:misc_RNA from 1 species